CCUACGGGAGGCAGCAGUGGGGAAUAUUGGGCAAUGGGCGCAAGCCUGACCCAGCAACGCCGCGUGAAGGAAGAAGGCUUUCGGGUUGUAAACUUCUUUUCUGAGGGACGAAGGAAGUGACGGUACCUCAGGAAUAAGCCACGGCUAACUACGUGCCAGCCGCCGCUGUACUACGUAGGUGGCAAGCGUUAUCCGGAUUUAAUGGGUGGAAAGGGCGGGGAGGCGGGAAAGUAAGGCAGAUGUGAAAACUCAGGGCUCAACCUUGGGACUGCAUUUGAAACUGUUAUUCUUGAGUGCUGGAGAGGCAAGCGGAAUUCCGUGUGUAGCGGUGAAAUGCGUAGAGAUACGGAGGAACACCAGUGGCGAAGGCGGAUUGCUGGACAGUAACUGACGCUGAGGCGCGAAAGCGUGGGGAGCAAACAGGAUUAGAUACCCCAGUAGUC
rnacentral:rRNA from 1 species